AUUGAACGCUGGCGGUAUGCUUUACACAUGCAAGUCGAACGGCAGCACGGACUUCGGUCUGGUGGCGAGUGGCGAACGGGUGAGUAAUGUAUCGGAACGUGCCCAGUAGUGGGGGAUAACUACUCGAAAGAGUGGCUAAUACCGCAUGAGAUCUCUGGAUGAAAGCGGGGGACCGUAAGGCCUCGCGCUACUGGAGCGGCCGAUAUCAGAUUAGGUAGUUGGUAGGGUAAGAGCCUACCAAGCCAACGAUCUGUAGCUGGUCUGAGAGGACGACCAGCCACACUGGGACUGAGACACGGCCCAGACUCCUACGGGAGGCAGCAGUGGGGAAUUUUGGACAAUGGACGCAAGUCUGAUCCAGCAAUACCGCGUGCAGGACGAAGGCCUUCGGGUUGUAAACUGCUUUUGUACGGAACGAAAAGCCUUCUUCUAAUACAGGGAGGUCAUGACGGUACCGUAAGAAUAAGCACCGGCUAACUACGUG
rnacentral:rRNA from 2 species